UUUAACAGACCCCAGAAGAUAGGAGUUGGGCCAGAAGGAGGAGCACUAGUAAAGCAGAAACGAACUUUGGCAGUAGGCUAGGAGGUAAAUUGUGGAGGAGCAGUAGUCACAUUUCCAUGGAAAGGGGACUCAGAGCCAAGGAACGAUCUGAGGAAUUCUCACACUGUCUCUGGGGGAUGAAGGAUGGCUGUGCUCCAGACUGGGUCCUGGCAUGGGUCCUGGCAUGCAGAAUCGAGCCCCGUACCAUUGUGGCAGAAAAGCGAUCGGUCGUGCAGAGACCCACAGCUUGUGUGAGUGGUGAGGAAGCCGCGAGAAGCUGCACUUCUAGAGACUAUUCAGAAUGUUUGUCUUCCAGUAAUGGUGAGAAGCCUGCUAUAGGGUUGAACAUUAAGCAUCUGUCCACCAGGCUCAUCAUUCAGCCUAGCGGGAGCUCGACCAGCCAUUUCCCAAAGCUCCACGCUCUGAAUGGAUACUGUUGUGUAGAGCAACCAGCCCUUUGACUACAAAACACCAAUCACUCUUCAGAUGACCUGACAUCUUGAUACCAAAACUCAAGAUCUGUUAGAGCCUGAUGGUGUUUGUCCUUUGAAGUAGAAGAACUGUAAAGAAUUCAGUCAAAUGUCUGUUCUUCCGAACACACCAGGAAUUGUAGCAUAUACAUUUAUCCUGGAGAGC